rnacentral:rRNA from 1 species
AGCAGCCGCGGUAAUUCCAGCUCCAAUAGCGUAUAUUAAAGUUGUUGCAGUUAAAAAGCUCGUAGUUGAACUUCGGGGUUUACUCAUUGGUCAGGCUUAAUUGUCUGUACUGGUGAGAUGAAUCUCUACCUUCUGAGGAACUUUCAUGCCAUUUAUUUGGUGUGGUUGGAAAUCAGGACUGUUACUUUGAAAAAAUUAGAGUGUUUAAAGCAGGCUAACGUCUGAAUACAUUAGCAUGGAAUAAUGAAAUAGGACGGAUUGAUUCUAUUUCGUUGGUUUCUAGGGUCACCGUAAUGAUUAAUAGGGAUAGUUGGGGGCAUUAGUAUUCAAUUGUCAGAGGUGAAAUUCUUGGAUUUAUUGAAGACUAACUACUGCGAAAGCAUUUGCCAAGGAUGUCUUCAUUAAUCAAGAACGAAAGUUAGGGGAUCGAAGACGAUCAGAUACCGUCGUAGUCUUAACCAUAAACUAUGCCGACUAGGGGUCGGACGAAGUUAAUUAAUAAUGACGCGUUCGGCACCUU